rnacentral:rRNA from 1 species
UGGGGGAAUAUUGCACAAUGGGGGGAAACCCUGAUGCAGCGACGCCGCGUGAGCGAAGAAGUAUUUCGGUAUGUAAAGCUCUAUCAGCAGGGAAGAAAAUGACGGUACCUGACUAAGAAGCUCCGGCUAAAUACGUGCC